UUCCUUCUUUGCUGCUCUUGACAAAUACACUCAGCUACUAAAGCUCUAUAGAAAGAGGACGACUAGCAUUUGGGGUGAGAAGAUGGGAGAACUUCUGAUGGCAUAUGAAGAGCAGGACAAAAACAAUAUCAGUGCAGCUAGAACAGCAGCCCUGGCUGGCCUACCGCUGUACUUGAAGGAGAAUUCAUCAGAAAUCUUCAGAACUUGCAAAGUCUUUUUGUGUCCUAUCAUUUUCCCAAACUCAGUGGCUUCAUCUACUUUGCAACAAGAAAUCACUGUUACAUAAAAAAAAAA